GAUCACGCCCUAUGGGAAGGCGCUCAGAAGGAAAGCCGGGCCCUGCUGGACAACCCCUAAUUUUCACGUCUGUUACCCAGGCCUUACCUCGUCAGGCCAGAGCAAGAUUGGGAAGAUACGUGAGGGAUGCUUCACAUUGCCUUCCCGUGAUAAAAACAGGCCCUGGAGCGAAUGUAUCACUUGCCACAAGGAAGGACACAAAGGGUGACACAUCUGCGAUAUGGGAGUAGAAGAAAAAGAUGAACACACCCAUGAAGUCCUGCGGGAUGUCAGGAGACCCUACUCUUUUCAAUAAAUCAGUGAAGAAGAAAGAAAUCCCCCGAGAGGAAGCAACGGCUCGAGACUCUCCACGGUGGCUGUGACACGACACGGAUGCUGUUCCUGCGUUGGUAACUGCAGCUCUGCAGACCUGGGCAACCACGCCACACAGUCUCAGUUGCUGCUCAGCCACCACAGUCUGCACUGUCCCCACUGCUAUGUGGUGUUUAUCCCCUGCACAGGAAUUAGUGGGUUAGCAGGGUUGGGCUGCUCUGAUAUUUAGGGAAACGGUGUGGAGUUGCACCAGGGGAGGGUCAGGUUGGGGGUUAGGAAAAGGCUCUUCACAGAGGGCAGUGGGCAUGGAACAGGUUGCCCAGGGUAAUGGGCAUGGCCCCAAGUGCUGGAGUUCAAGGAGCAUCUGUACAACACUAGGGUCUGAUUUUUGGGUGGUGUGGCAUAGCCAGGAGCUGGACUCGAUGAUCCUUAUGGUUUUCUUCUAACUUGGGAAAUUCUAUGACUAUGAUAUACCGUCCAGGAGCCUCAGGAACUCCCUGUGGUGCUGGCAUACCAGGGCAGGUGAAUCCAGGUGAGAAAUGAGUGCAAACCUUCUGUUACCUGGAGGCAAGGAAGGCAAGAGCACAGGAUUUGGCUGGAGGUGAGGCAGGAUGGCAGGCGACAUGCUGCUUUACCUUCUAAUCUGUGCAUCAUAGCAUGCCCCAAAAUCAGAGGUCCUGCUCUAACACCAUGCACUUCCACAAUUCACAUCAAAGAAAUCAGAAAACAAACUUCCUUUUUUCUUCUCUGUCCUCUAUUUCCAAAGCCCUGGCACCCCGAGAAAAAAAUAAAAAUAAAAAUGUUUUUCAGACUAUGAACCCCACAGUUUGUGAACCAGCACAGCAACAAGAGAAGGAACAAGAUUUGCAGCUGGGCUGUGAGUGCAGGUGACACAGGCACACUUGGUAUCCCACAGGAUACAGACCGUGAAAGAAAAGACACCUAGGAGGAUGAUAAAAGUUGCCUGGAUCUCUCAAAUGGGCUCAAGCCCCAUUCCAAACUACUGAUUGCCCUGAACAGCACCUGCACAGGGAAGCGGUGCUAGAUACCCAAGCCCAGGGACAGCGAUGACUUCCAUGUGGAUGCAGUUGGUAUCUGGAUGAAGUUUAGGAACCAUGGGAGACUGCUGGGGAGAUCAGCCUCCAGGGAGCAGAUGCACAUUUAGGAGCUGGGCUCGCCAGCCCUUCCUUGACCCCCCAGAGAUUCAUCACUCCUUCAGCACUGUGACGGCCGGGUCACUCUUCCAUGUUUUCUCCCCAUGAUGUGUGUCCUCCCAUGAUGUAAAUUUGUGUCGGGUAUGUCCUGGCUUCUUUCCUGCUACCUUCCUUUGGGACCGUUAAGGAAAACAUUUAAUUAUGUCUUUUUUCCAUUUACCAGUGGCCAACAUACUCACAAAUUAUCCUUGCCAUGUCUUGCACGUAAAAUUGAACACUCCUCCAAAUACCUCCUUCCGUGCAUAUCUGAAAAAUGUCCUACUUACCUUAACCUCUUUGCAAUAUUUCUUUCACGCCUUGCUUUGGCUUUUGUGUGUUUGUGUGCACACGUGCAUGUCAUUCUUGCACUCCAUCCCCUCUACCCUACAGCACCUCCCUCCCUCCUCUGGUGUGUUGCACUUUGCAUAGGUCUCAUCACAUUCUGCUCUUGCACACCCACCCAUGGUGCACUGUGUUAACUCCUGCACUAUUUAUUACUGCAUGGCAUGUGAAACGUGGGCUGUGAUGUAUGUGCCACUGCUUUUCAUCUCCUACCAGCACACCUCAUGUCCUCACUCUCCUUUGUUUUGUGUCAUUCGAAUUCACCAGUCAUUGUGGAUUUCUUCCCUAAAUAGUUGUCAUAGGAGUUGACAUUUCUGUCCCUGUCUGUUUGGGAAACACAUCUGCCUUGCAAGAGGAUUUUAUACAACUGCAAAUGUGCCUCCCUUUUAGGCUGGAGUUCCAAACGCCUCCGAGGAGCCCAUGGACACCUGGCUGGGCACUGACGAGCUCACGGCAUGAUGAACGAGGCUGCUGCCCAGAGCUCUGUGCCAUACUGUGGGAGACACCAUGGUUGGGCUGCCCCAUCUAACGGAGGUGGGAAGGGAUGUUGUGGCUGCUCAUCUCUGUGCUCUGCAGACAGGCAGGCUGCUUGCAAUUUGAAUCACUGCCAUCCGGUCCCAUAUACCAUUGUCCUAAUGUCCCUUAUCUCACUUAUUUCUAGGCAUUCCUCCGCAGCAAUUAUGCCUUUCCUUUCCAAUCUCCCUUGAAGUAUCCUUUACUAUUUACCCACAUUGAUUUUUUGUGUCUCCUUUUAUUUAUGCCUAUUGUACCUUGAAUUAUAAAGUGAAUGGCAAAUUUUAAGACUCUAACAUGCUCCUGCUUGCCUCUGUGUGUCUAUUUUCAUUUCUGCCUCUUCAUUGUACUACAGAUCACUCUUCCUUCAGUAAGGCUACUUCACAAACUUCCACAGGGAAGCCCUGAAGUGGAAGUGCACAUAUUUUUUUUUAUAUGUCUAUCACUCUAAUGCUUAAUUUUAUCAGUGGGUAGAUGCAUCCUCUUGUGCUCCCUUGGGUUCUCCUCUCCUUUUCCAUGGGUUUUAUUAGAAAAAAACACCAACAACAAACAAAUGAAAAGACUGCCAACAUCAAGGACAUGGAAACAUCCUUCUUACCCUGUGUUUAAAAUCUUCAGGUCUGACUAUGCCAUUUUUGGAUAGUACAAUAACUGCAUUUAAAUACUGAAAUUAAUUCCACGGUAAAGUUAAGUGCUCUGAAUACUUAUAAAGGCUUAUGGGCUUACUAAAGGUUGAUGGAUAGUGGUUUUGACACAAGCAGUUCUGAUGUCAUUAGAGUACUUUGCAGAGAUCCUACAGAGAAUAUAUGCUAAGUGUUGGAAAUGAGUAAGGAAAGCAUCUGAAAUUCAAUUAAUGGACAAACUUUACAGAGAAAAUCACCUGACAGGGCAGCAUCCAGGAAUUACAGGUGAACCACAGGAGCCAAAGGCAUUCCAGGCCUCCCAAAUAACUCCUGAAGCUCACAAAAGUAGUUUCAGCCAGCAACUGUGACUUGUUUAUAGCUUAUAAAAUAGCCCACUUUUCCCUUCCCUUCCCUUCCCUUCCCUUCCCUUCCCUUCCCUUCCCUUCCCUUCCCUUCCCUUCCCUUCCCUUCCCUUCCCUUCCCUUCCCUUCCCUUCCCUUCCCUUCCCUUCCCUUCCCUUCCCUUCCCUUCCCUUCCCUUCCCUUCCCUUCCCUUCCCUUCCCUUCCCUUCCCUUUUUUUGGAGGUUCAGUCAAGGCCCAAAUUGUGUUAGAUCUCAGGAAGCUCCAUCCCAAACCCAACAAGAGCAAGCAUACCCAAGUCU